rnacentral:rRNA from 1 species
GACGAACGCUGGCGGCGUGCCUAAUACAUGCAAGUCGAACGGAGCGGCGGACGGGUGAGUAAUUCCUAGGAAUCUGCCUGGUAGUGGGGGAUCACGUCCGGAAACGGGCGCUAAUACCGCAUACUAUCAGAUGAGCCUAGUGCGGAUUAGCUAGUUGGUGGGGUAAAGGCCUACCAAGGCGACGAUCCGUAACUGGUCUGAGAGGAUGAUCAGUCACACUGGAAUGUAGACACGGUCCAGACUCCUACGGUAGGCAGCAGUGGGGAAUAUUGGACAAUGGGCGAAAGCCUGAUCCAGCCAUGCCGCGUGUGUGAAGAAGGUCUUCGGAUUGUAAAGCACUUUAAGUUGGGAGGCGUUACCAACAGAAUAAGCACCGGCUAACUUCGUGCCAGCCGCCGCGGUAAUUC